rnacentral:rRNA from 1 species
GGGGAAUUGUUCGCAAUGGGCGCAAGCCUGACGACGCAACGCCGCGUGGAGGAUGAAGAUCUUCGGGUCGUAAACUCCUUUCGACCGAGAUGAAUUCCUGCCGACCUAACCCGUCGGCGGGGUGACAGUAUCGAGGGAAGCAGCCCCGGCUAACUCCGUUCCAGCAGCCGCGGUAAUACGGGGGGGGCAAGCGUUGUUCGGAAUUACUGGGCGUAAAGGGUUCGUAGGUGGCCCGCUAAGUCACACGUGAAAUCCCUCAGCUUAACUGGGGAACUGCGUGUGAGACUGGCAGGCUUGAGUGCAGGAGAGGAACGCGGAAUUCCAGGUGUAGCGGUGAAAUGCGUAGAUAUCUGGAGGAACACCGGUGGCGAAGGCGGCGUUCUGGACUGUAUCUGACACUGAGGAACGAAAGCCAGGGGAGCAAA